ensembl:lncRNA
CGAGUCGUACCAUUCCGCCCCAUGAGGGGGGGUGUCUCAGCAAACACCGACCUGCGAAAAUGCCCUGCCACGUCGGAGACGUUCAAAAGAAAAAUUUAAUACACAUAAUCAGACAAUUUUACCAUCGCGGUGUCCUCCAAAUGUUGAUACUUCGCCAGGAUCGUCAUUCUGAAUUAUGACGUUUCUCCUCGCCCCUGCAGCUGCGGUUUUGAGGUACAGUUGAAAAUGGCUGUGAAGGAACAGUUGAGAUCUGUCGCGCUGUACAAGAAUUAAUAAUAAUGUCGCAUCCUCCAAAUUAACGAGGACUCGUCUCCGCCGCCCGGAGGACACGUCGGAAAGUGUGUGGGGACGGUACUUCUGCUCCCUGGCACCUUGGCAGUUCGGGGUUUGAACCAGCAACCUUCCGCUUCCUCACCCGCUAGACCACGGAAGCGGCCAGAUGUGUGCAGCGUGCAUCAGCACCACUGCUGCAUCAGCAUGUCCUGUGUUCCCACAGUACUACAAGUGUUCCAUCGAAAUAUUGGACAUGUGGAUCAGAGUGACUCGGCAAGGCUGUACAAUGGCCGGGUCAGUGCUGCAGAGGGAUUGUGGGUAAUUCAGGGGAGACCCUGCUUCAGGGUGCUACCGAAGUUAAAGGUCCCGGCAAAAUACUGUGUGUGUAUGUAUAUGUUUGCACCCAUGUCCUGGAAUAGCUUCUGUGAGGGUGCUAAAACCCGGUACUAAAUUUAGCCAAACAAGACCAGGCAGAGGGUUCUUGCUUCAAUUAAGGGACUUAAUAAUACACAAAAGGGACCCACACACACACACACACACACACACCCUCCAAAUUCAGCUGUUAAAACAGUUGGCCGGAAUGACUGUGCCUCUGGUUGAGUGGGCGGGGUCUCGAUGUUAUGGGGAUUUUAUUUUUUCCCCCGAGGUCGGGGCCUUAGUCACACCUGUCAGCCGUCCCACGCUGAUGACAUCACAGCAGUUGUGACUGUGGGUUAAUAGCGCUGCGCAGGGUGAGGGGCUGCAAUUACGCCGAACGUUACCAGAGUGAGAUGACACAGGGUUCUUUAUGUGUGUGUGUGUGUGUGUGUGUGUGUGAGUGAGUGAAAGAGAGAGAGAGAGAGAGAGAGAACCUGCUGACUCUUUUUAUGUAGAUUCUGUUGUGAGGAUGGUUGAGUGUUUUGCAGGAUGUGAGAUUAGUGCUGACACCUGCUGAGCAGACUCUUCCUCACACACACAUACACACACACACACUUGCAAACUCAUGGUACAGUAGCUGCAAAACAUGAAGUACAGGUGGUUGAAUUGUGUUGCUCCACCCUCAACAUCCUAACAAACCUGCACACACCGAAAGAAACUGUACAAUAUUGGACAUUGAUUUCAUACACACACACACGGCCCAGAGAAACCACAUCACUCACACACACCAACACACCCAAAACAGGAAGUAGUUUAUUUGCGCCCCCCCCCGCCCACUUCCAGCUCAUUUCACUCGGACUCUCCUGGAAGCCCUUCGCAAGAAGCCAGAGGCAUUAAGACCCAGCUGGCAUCCGAGCAGACACCAAACCGCCCCCUGCUGUCCCCAUCAGGAACCCCCGACAUGCAGCGUUCUGCAAGGGGAAGAUAUAAAAGAGAGAAGUCUGACAUGAUGGCCUUUAACUCCAGUGCUGUACAGGGGUGGAGUGAUCAGAGAGAGCCUGUUCUCGCUGACUGUGCAGCGCGCGUGUGUGUG